AAACGACGCGAGGAGGUCCGUAUCUUAACCGGUCAGAAAACGAGCGAAAACGCUAAUCCAAACGGGGCCUAAGUGUUUUCCACUAGCACAUGGAAACCCACCGCUUUAUCUAGACCUUCCGUAUAAAAAAUGACCUUCUCAAUCUAACACGCAUCCCUCCUGCUCCGUCUACAGCCUCCUGCGCGGCCACGGCUCCCUGCUCCUCCACCACCAUCACCACAACCUCUCUCCUACCCUUCCUCUCUUUUCUCUUUUCUUUCCCUGGCGGACGAGAUGUGUUGUGGACGGCGGCGAUGUAAGAAAGCCGGGAGGUAUGCCGAUGGACAUGCCAGGCAACGUUUGCUGCGCAAGGAUAGGGUAGCAGAUGUGCCGGUGCGAGAUCUACGCUUCACUACGGAGGCCGUGGCGAUCAAACAGACGGUAGGUGGGACCUCGCUGGGGCCGGCAAUACGGCGUUAUUGGCCUCUGCGACACACCAUCAUAUCCAUAGAAGGCAGGAAAAGGGCAGGCGGAACGCGGUUUGCGGAGACGAUUGUCGUGGUAUGAUUAUCUUUCCCACCUCUUGCGGCGUUCCUUGCAUGUGGUGCUUUCCGUUUUGUUCAGUGCGGUACGCCUCCUUGGUAGAGCAUUGGUGUUGAUUCCCUUCUGUACUGACAAGUUUGUUGACGGCGAUUUUGAUAUAUUCGUUUCGUGGAUUAGGAGGCAACAUGUGUGGGGUGGUGAGCCAAAACUAUUCAGGGCUUUACAUGUUCUUUGGUAAGUAAUUGGACCAGUUAUGCAUGCUUCUUCAUGGAUACCAACGGUGGCUCCAAGUAAUGAAAUAUGAAGAUUUGUUUAUAUUUUGUUAGCUGAUAUCUAUAUCCACACAGCUAAAUAGCUUAAUGCAACGAGUUGCCUCUCUAUUUUGUCUGUGACCUUUUCCUACUAUGCUUAUGUGAAAUCAUUAACAAAUGACAAAUACCAGUAGGGAUAAUAUUCGAAAAAUAUGUUUCCUAGAAACUGUUCAAAAUAUAAUGAGUUCACAACAUUCAGUGAUGUUGGCUAAAUUCCGGUGACAGUUAAAAUUACAUUGCUGAGAAGUUCUCAUGUCAACAAUGCCUAGCACUAUCAAUCAAUAAAGCAAGCAAGAUGAUUUCCUCGGACGCGGCCCGCAACGUCGUCGGCAAUGUCAUCUCCUUCGACCUCUUCUUCUCCCCUGUGAAAAAAAGUUUUCUUCUCUUUUCAACAUUCUUUUCUUGGAUGCAUGUGAAGAACGUUAGAUAAUAUCUAAUCUUUACAUGCGCUUAUUGUUUCAAUGCGCUCCCAUUCUAGCCCCAAGAUUGGUUAAUGUUUUUCCAAGUUUACAAUAUACUAAUGUUGAAUAAAAAUAUGUAUACGCUUUCAGCCAUGGAGCGGAGAUGCUUACAGACACAAAAAACAAAAUUAGUGCAAGAUAACUUGCUACAACUUUUAUUGUUGGCCUUUGAUUACUUCUUGUUGAAUGACCAUCAAUCAUUCUGAAAGUGCAUACUAAAAGAAAAUAAGAUACAAUUUUUAUAGCACUAAGAACCAAGGAACCUUCGGAAUUACUUAUGUUGCUGCCCUACUUAUACUUUCAUUCGUUCACCGGACAGUGACCAUCAGAAUAGUAGUGGGUUGAAAUUAACAACGUUAUCUUGUGGAAGUGCUCAUAGUUAUGUAUCUCUUCCACAUGUUUGCAGAACUAAAUCAAUUUCUCCUCUAUGCAAAAGUAAAUGUCGGCAUGGUUGGAGCCUAUACUUCCCAUAUGAUUUCUUUUGAUCGCAGAAGAAUACAACAGUUCUGUGUAAAAUAUAUCAUGUGUCUGGAAACGUUAGAAACCAGGAGGCAGUAGCGAAAAGAAUUUUAUUUAAGGGUUGCAUGUGGUGCCAUGCUUCCUGUUUUCUAGCAUCAUGAGAUCCUGUUCGCGGUACGCCAUCUUGCCUUCUAGAGCUCGCUACUUUCAUUUUCUUUUCAUUUUAAAUGGAAAAUAUAGAACAAUCUCUCACUAGAAACAGAGAAUGCGGCUAUGUAUGACUACAAACUGAUGUUAAAUUUUUUGUCUAGGUUUUGGUCACCCUCAGUUUAGCUUCUUGCAGUGUUCUGUUACAAUAGAAAACAACUCAAUAAGCUAGCAUCUAUGGCAAAUAGCAUAUCCACUAGCCAGAUCAUUAUAGAAAAAAUUACUAUGUUCAUAGCUGAUUAAUUUAAUCACCAGCAAUUUAAUAAGACAAUGUUGAAAUAAAUUGUCUUGAAGUAGCAAAAGAAACUACACAGUAAGUUGUGCAAACCAACAUUGAUGAAUUCCUUGGUGGAGUUGACGUGAAAUUCCUUGGUGUAUGUGAAUUAAAGACUUCACAAGAUUGUAGGACGGAAUAAAAUUGUUAAUGGUUGAGGUGAAAUGCUCCCAUCAACUGUGAAGGAUUCCUCCAUUUACCGAUGUUCUUAGACCUAAGAGCCAUGCUUUAUUAUUGAAGUGACAAUUUCUGAUCUCUUAUUAUCAUGCCCAUGAAAGAACUAUAUUUCCGAGCUUAUAUGUAAAUGAAAUUGGUAGACUUCAAUAAAGAAUCACAAGAUCUCUCUGACGGACGCGGCGUCACACCGCGCUUUUUGGUAGACUUCAAUAAAGAAUCACAAGAUCUCUCUGACGGACGCGGCGUCACACCGCGCUUUUUGACGCUAGUAAAUACUAAACGUGCAUGGCUACCAGUGCUUUCUCUUUGGCACUAAGCCACCUACAAAUAUUCUGCCUUAAUUUUAUUAUGAAUUUGAAUACAAUAAAAACAAGUCACAAAAAUGGAAGCAUUGUUUAGCUCUCCGUGCCUUUUUUCUUGGUGGCUAAUUUAUAACCNUGCCUUUUUUCUUGGUGGCUAAUUUAUAACCGCUCUCAUAAUCUCUUUCAUGUUUACCAUGAUAAAGGUUUAAUGGGUGGAGGGACCGUCGCUAAAAGAUGUAAACAAGCGGUCUUAGGGCUGGAAGCUUCAUGUCUGUAUCGUAAGGAUCUAAGAGUAGAGAAGCAUAUAAAUUACUGAACGCUAUGGUAGACUGCACGGUAUAUGUCACAAUACUGUUUACAGUGUGUUCUCUAAUCUAAUACACUGUUCAAUUUAUUUUUUAUCUGUCAUUACAGAGUGGCACAAUGGAAGGAGAGAUCCCGGCGAGCAUGCCUAAUCUAUUUAAAAUGACUCAGCAAGCGACUGCCCACAGCCCCACACACUCAUGGAGCCAAUGCUGACCACAUGCUUACCUUUAUGUCAGCACAGAGGCAAGUAAAAAAAUUCCAAUUCAUACCCGAUAGGUUGCAAUUCUAUGCUCCUAAAUUUUGUUUUCCUCCAAAAUGAAUGGGCUUCAGUAUGUUUUAAAAACGCUAUAUGCUUUCAAAAUUUAAGUACGGGUGAUAUUCGAAAUUCAAAUAAGGCACUUAGGUUCUUAUAUGCAAGAUUACAAAAAGUUGUUGUUCUGCGUUCAUCAGAUGCAUUGAAAUGUAUAUGUUUGAUUAUAUUGUAUUCACCAUGUGUGAAAUCAAUUGUUAAUUUUAACCUUACCAUGAAAGUAUACUCCUCGAAUGUAAAGUACUCCCUCCAUUCCCUUAUACAAGGCCACUAUGGAAAAUACAAAUUGCAUCAAUAAAAGGCCACUAACAGAAAACGAGGCGAAAUUUAAUGAGGGGCU
rnacentral:lncRNA from 1 species